GACGAACGCUGGCGGCGUGCCUAAUACAUGCAAGUUGAGCGAUGAAGAUUGGUGCUUGCACCAAUUUGAAGAGCAGCGAACGGGUGAGUAACGCGUGGGGAAUCUGCCUUUGAGCGGGGGACAACAUUUGGAAACGAAUGCUAAUACCGCAUAACAACUUUAAACAUAAGUUUUAAGUUUGAAAGAUGCAAUUGCAUCACUCAAAGAUGACCCCGCGUUGUAUUAGCUAGUUGGUGAGGUAAAGGCUCACCAAGGCGAUGAUACAUAGCCGACCUGAGAGGGUGAUCGGCCACAUUGGGACUGAGACACGGCCCAAACUCCUACGGGAGGCAGCAGUAGGGAAUCUUCGGCAAGGGACGAAAGUCUGACCGAGCAACGCCGCGUGAGUGAAGAAGGUUGUCGGAUCGUAAAACUCUGUUGGUAGAGAAGAACGUUGGUGAGAGUGGAAAGCUCAUCAAGUGACGGUAACUACCCAGAAAGGGACGGCUAACUACGUG
rnacentral:rRNA from 1 species